GCCAAGCACGCAUGAGUCAGAAGCAGUUAUAUCCCUAAGUCAUAAAGCAGCAGCUGGGCCCAAGAUUCCUGGCAUCCUUCCAAUCUCACCUCCCCCGCCCUAUUUACCCAGGAGCAAAAGAAGCGGAGGGAAGCAACACAGCGCAGCGUGACUACGUGCUUGAUCUGUCUCCUCCUAACGGGCAUGCAGGGCUCCUGGAUGCUGUGCUGAAAACACCACGUACAGAAGCCAGUCUAACCUUCUGGAUGAUGAGAGCCCAGAUGCAGUACAGAGGUGCCCCAGCCAACAAUCAGCUGCUAUCUGAAUCCCAUCUGGAUCCCAUCUGAAUCCCAUGUCACCAUGAAUGAGGCCACCUUAGCCCAGCCAGCACAGCUGAAAGCCAGAAGCAGCCGCAUGCACAAGCCCAGGGGAAGCCCACAGAGGAACCACCAGCCAACACACAGAAUUGCAAGCAGUUAAGCAACUAAGAUUAAGACAACAAUUUUAAAAUGAACCAGGUCCGGCCGGGUGCGGUGGCUCUCAGGCCUGUAAUCCCAGCACUUUGGGAGGCCGAAGCGAGCGGGUCACCGGAGGUUGGGAGUUCGAGACCAGCCUGACCAACAUGGAGAAACCCCGUCUCUACUAAAAAUACAAAGUUAGCCAGGCGUGGUGGCGCAUGCCUGUAAUCCCAGCUACUCGGGAGGCUGAAGUAAGGUUAUAACAUGGCCUGGCGUGCAGUACGUGCUCAAUAAAUGCUCACCGUUAUUGUUGAUCAGGCA
rnacentral:lncRNA from 1 species